UCGAGUGAUUCUUAUGCGGAGUCGCCACCAAAAUCGGAGGGGAGGACAAUAUAUUACCAUAUAGCUGAAGAUAAUGGUGAUGUGGACGAUGAAGCAGCGCAGGGUUACUCUAUGACCUUCAAAGGAAAUGGGGUUGAAGAGUUGACUCGUAAACUGGAGGAAGAGACAGGAAUUGAGGGUCUCAUUGUGUGUGCUCGAAGCCCUUUGAAUCGCCAGCUCUUUCCCCUUCGCUUGCAGCUUCCCCCAAACAAUGUCACUAUGCAGGUUGUUCUGGUGAUGUCAAGUUCAAAAGGUG
rnacentral:lncRNA from 1 species